CACGCAGGCGGUUUGGUAAGUCAGGGGUGAAAGCCCACAGCUUAACUGUGGGAUUGCCUCUGAUACUGCCUUUCUGGAGUGCAGGAGAGGGAAGCGGAAUUCCGAGUGUAGAGGUGAAAUUCGUAGAUAUUCGGAGGAACACCGGUGGCGAAGGCGGCUUCCUGGCCUGUAACUGACGCUCAGGUGCGAAAGCGUGGGGAGCAAACAGGAUUAGAUACCCUGGUAGUCCACGCCCUAAACGAUGGGCACUAGGUGUGGGAGGUAUCGACCCCUUCCGUGCCGCAGCUAACGCAUUAAGUGCCCCGCCUGGGGAGUACGGCCGCAAGGUUGAA
rnacentral:rRNA from 1 species